rnacentral:rRNA from 1 species
CCUAAGGUAGCGAAAUUCCUUGUCGGGUAAGUUCCGACCUGCACGAAUGGCAUAAUAAUGGCCACACUGUCUCCUCCCGAGACUCAGUGAAAUUGAAAUGUUUGUGAUGAUGCAAUCUCCCCGCGGCUAGACGGAAAGACCCCAUGAACCUUAACUGUAGCUUUGCAUUGGACUUUGAACCGAUCUGUGUAGGAUAGGCGGGAGGCUUUGAAGAAUGGACGCCAGUUCAUUCGGAGCCGUCGUUGAAAUACCGCCCUGAUUUGUUUGAGGUUCUAACCUGGGCCAGUAAUCCUGGCUGGGAACCGUGCAUGGUGGGCAGUUUGACUGGGGCGGUCUCCUCCUAAAGGGUAACGGAGGAGUGCGAAGGUACGCUAAUCACGGUCGGAAAUCGUGAGGAUACUGCAAUGGGAAAAGCGUGCCUGACUGCGAGACAGACAAGUCGAGCAGAUGCGAAAGCAGGUCAUAGUGAUCCGGUGGCUUCUGUAUGGAAGGGCCAUCGCUCAACGGAUAAAAGGUACUCUGGGGAUAACAGGCUGAUACCGCCCAAGAGUUCAUAUCGACGGCGGUGUUUGGCACCUCGAUGUCGGCUCAUCUCAUCCUGGGGCUGUAGCCGGUCCCAAGGGUAUGGCUGUUCGCCAUUUAAAGAGGUACGUGAGCUGGGUUUAAAACGUCGUGAGACAGUUUGGUCCCUAUCUGCCGUGGGCGUUGGAAGAUUGACGGGGGCUGCUCCUAGUACGAGAGGACCGGAGUGGACGCACCUCUGGUGUACCGGUUGUCACGCCAGUGGCAUUGCCGGGUAGCUAAGUGCGGAAGAGAUAACCGCUGAAAGCAUCUAAGCGGGAAACUUGCCUGAAGAUGAGUCUUCCCGGAGGUUGAACCUCCCUCAAGAGUCGUCCGAGACCAGGACGUCGAUAGGUCAGGUGUGUAAGCGCUGUAAGGCGUUGAGCUAACUGAUACUAAUUGCUCGUGAGGCUUGAUCCU